AGGCUGCGCCCUGCUUAAUGCCUGAUGAUCUGAGGCAAAGUUGGACAUCCCAAAGAUGGCAUAGAUAAACAUGACCAGGAAGAGCAGGAGGCCGAUGUUAAACAACGCAGGAAGGGACAUCAUCAAAGCAAAGAGCAGCGUGCGGAUCCCCUUUGCUCCUUUGAUCAGACGUAGGAUUCGGCCAAUCCUGGCAAGACGGAUCACUCGGAACAAGCACGCGGAACACAAUCAGGAAGGAGUGGAAGAAGUCGUUCAUGUGCCACCGUGGGAGCGUACAGUCAUCAUUGAUCUUGCAGACACAUUCUUUGUAGCUCUUACCAAAGAGCUGCAUGCCGACCACAGCAAAAAUGAAGACGAUGAUGGCCAACACCAAGGCUCCGAGCACAUCAUUGGCACCAAAAUAGAGCAAAGGACUGUG
rnacentral:lncRNA from 1 species